rnacentral:ncRNA from 1 species
UUUCAAAUAACUAUGCAAACAUAAACACACACAACAUAAUGGAAAAACGACUAUCUCUUCGACUGCUUCUGUUAUCGCAUUUCGUGCGAGGAUAAAGGUCGUUCGGAGUGAAAGCGUUCACUAUCCACACUUUGCCCGCACAUUGAUGCGGGUUUUUUUUACUUAUA